UGCUCAGAGAGGCCUCCUAAAACCACUGGAUAGAAUUUCAAUAAACAGAGGGAGAGGAAGCGUAGUCCAGGCAGGGGAAUGACACGCAGGACAGUGAGGAGGCUGUGGCCAUCCAGUUGCCGUCUUUGUUGAGAGCCCACAGCGAGGCAGUUAUAACGCACUACACACCUGGUACCUACCAUAUGUGCACCUGACAACAACCUGGAGGUAUUAUUAUUCCUUUUUCACACACAAGGAAACUGAGGCUCAGGAAAGUAAU
rnacentral:lncRNA from 1 species